GACGAACGCUGGCGGCGUGCUUAACACAUGCAAGUCGAGCGGUAAGGCCCUUUCGGGGGUACACGAGCGGCGAACGGGUGAGUAACACGUGGGUGACCUGCCCUCAGCUCUGGGAUAAGCCUGGGAAACCGGGUCUAAUACUGGAUAUGACUCCAUGACGCAUGUUGUGGGGUGGAAAGCCUUGUGCGGCUGAGGAUGGGCCCGCGGCCUAUCAGCUUGUUGGGGGGUGAUGGCCUACCAAGGCGACGACGGGCAGCCGGCCUGAGAGGGCGACCGGCCACACUGGGACUGAGACACGGCCCAGACUCCUACGGGAGGCAGCAGUGGGGAAUCUUGCGCAAUGGGCGAAAGCCUGACGCAGCGACGCCGCGUGAGGGAUGACGGCCU
rnacentral:rRNA from 1 species